UCAGAAGGUUGGAUAAUCGCGUGCUUAUGGUACGAGGAAAGUCCGGGCUUCAGAGAAAAGUGAUGCCGGGUAACGCCCGGGCGGCCAUGAAGGAAUUUAAGGCUGACGGAUAGUGCAACAGAAAACAGACCGCCGAAACGAUUAGGUCGUGGUAAGGAUGAAACGGUGCGGUAAGAGCGCACCACGCUUUUGGUAACAAAAGUGGUAUUGGUAAACCCCAUCUGAAGCAAGAUCAAAUAGGCACUGCUUAUGCCGUUUUUCUCCGGUGCAGUGCGGGUAGAUUGCUUGAGCUGUUUGGUAACAACCAGCCUAGAUGAAUGAUUAUCUGAAAAACAGAACCCGGCUUAUAGGCCUUCUGACUAU
rnacentral:RNase_P_RNA from 1 species